rnacentral:rRNA from 1 species
UACGGAGGGGGCUAGCGUUGUUCGGAAUUACUGGGCGUAAAGCGCACGUAGGCGGCUUUGUAAGUUAGAGGUGAAAGCCCGGGGCUCAACCCCGGAAUUGCCUUUAAGACUGCAUCGCUAGAAUUGUGGAGAGGUAAGUGGAAUUCCGAGUGUAGAGGUGAAAUUCGUAGAUAUCGGAAGGAACAUCAGUGGCGAAAGCGGCUUCCUGGUCCAGCACCGACGUUCAGGCACGAAAGCGUGGGGAGCAAACAGG